rnacentral:rRNA from 1 species
AUGCAAGUCGAGGGGUAACGGAAGUAGCUUGCUACUAGACGACGACCGGCGCACGGGUGAGUAACGCGUAUGUAAUCUGCCUUGUACAGAGGGAUAGCCCAGAGAAAUUUGGAUUAAUACCUCAUAGUAUUACCGAAUCGCAUGAUUUGGUAAUUAAAGCUCCGGCGGUACAAGAUGAACAUGCGUGACAUUAGCUAGUUGGUAAGGUAACGGCUUACCAAGGCUACGAUGUCUAGGGGUUCUGAGAGGAUGAUCCCCCACACUGGUACUGAGACACGGACCAGACUCCUACGGGAGGCAGCAGUGAGGAAUAUUGGUCAAUGGACGCAAGUCUGAACCAGCCAUCCCGCGUGAAGGAUGACUGCCCUAUGGGUUGUAAACUUCUUUUAUAAUGCAAAUAAACCUACUUUCGUGAAAGUAGCUGAAGGUAGCAUAUGAA